AAAAUGGCUUUUUUAAAAGCCAAAAGGUGGAACCUAACUUUGUUUU
rfam:Manacus vitellinus contig42136, whole genome shotgun sequence.